rnacentral:snRNA from 1 species
AAAAAAUAUUAUAAACACUU